CAUCUCUCAUGGUCGCACCUGAAGAGUUUCCAGUCCUCUACCAGCCUCGACUAUGGGAAGGAGAGUCAAGCAGAGGCCCACCUGUUCCAUUCCUAGCUUGGGCAGUGGCUAGCGAGUGGAAGGCAGUCUGCUACAAGU